rnacentral:rRNA from 1 species
GACGAACGCUGGCGGCGUGCUUAACACAUGCAAGUCGAACGGAAAGGCCCUGCUUUUGUGGGGUGCUCGAGUGGCGAACGGGUGAGUAACACGUGAGUAACCUGCCCUUGACUGUGGGAUAACUUCAGGAAACUGGGGCUAAUACCGGAUAGGAGCUCCUGCUGCAGGGUGGGGGUGGGAAAGUUUCGGCGGUUGGGGAUGGACUCGCGGCUUAUCAGCUUGUUGGUGGGGUAGUGGCUUACCAAGGCUUUGACGGGUAGCCGGCCUGAGAGGGUGACCGGCCACACUGGGACUGAGAUACGGCCCAGACUCCUACGGGAGGCAGCAGUGGGGAAUAUUGCACAAUGGGCGGAAGCCUGAUGCAGCAACGCCGCGUGCGGGAUGACGGCCUUCGGGUUGUAAACCGCUUUCGCCUGUGACGAAGCGUGAGUGACGGUACUGGGUAAAGAAGCACCGGCUAACUACGUG